UACGUAGGGUGCGAGCGUUAAUCGGAAUUACUGGGCGUAAAGCGUGCGCAGGCGGUUGGCAAAGUCAGCUGUGAAAGCCCCGGGCUUAACCUGGGAAUGGCGGUUGAAACUAGUCGGCUAGAAUCUGGCAGAGGGGGGUGGAAUUCCACGUGUAGCAGUGAAAUGCGUAGAGAUGUGGAGGAACACCGAUGGCGAAGGCAGCCCCCUGGGCUGAGAUUGACGCUCAGGCACGAAAGCGUGGGGAGCAAACAGG
rnacentral:rRNA from 1 species